rnacentral:rRNA from 1 species
UACGGAGGGUGCAAGCGUUAUCCGGAUUCACUGGGUUUAAAGGGUGCGUAGGCGGGUAUGUAAGUCAGUGGUGAAAUCCCCGAGCUUAACUCGGGAACUGCCAUUGAUACUAUAUAUCUUGAAUGUUCUGGAGGUAUGCGGAAUAUGUCAUGGUAGCGGUGAAAUGCUUAGAGAUGACAUAGAACACCUAUUGCGAAGGCAGCAAUACUACGGAAAUAUUGACGCUGAGGCACGAAAGUGUGGGGAUCAAACAGGG